rnacentral:pre_miRNA from 1 species
CUUCUCCUCUCAGGGAAGCUUUUUGCUCGCGUUAUGUUUUGGAUUUGAAUAUAAGACGAACAAAAGGUUUGUCUGUGUGCAGAG